GCCUCGGUAGCUCAGUUGGUAGAGCGCCUGCCUGUUAAGCAGGAGGCCGUCGGUUCGAGCCCGAUCCGGGGCG
rnacentral:tRNA from 1 species